GAUGAAGAACGUAGCGAAAUGCGAUAAGUAAUGUGAAUUGUAGAAUUCAGUGAAUCAUCGAAUCUUUGAACGCACAUUGCGCCCGCGAGUAUUCUCGCGGGCAUGCCUGUCCGAGCGUCAUUUCAACCCUCAGGGCCCGCCUGCUUGCAGGCGCGGCGCUGGUGUUGGGGAUCGGCUACCCUGCCGUCCCCCAAAUACAGUGGCGGUCUCGCUGCAGCCUCCCCUGCGUAGUAGCAACACUCGCAUGCGGAGCGCGGCGCGGCCACGCCGUAAAACCCCCGACUUUCUGAACGUUGACCUCGGAUCAGGUAGGAAUACCCGCUGAACUUAAGCAUAUCAAUAAGCGGAGGA
rnacentral:misc_RNA from 1 species